rnacentral:misc_RNA from 1 species
CAAGAGUUGUAACAAACUCCCUAACCCUUUGUGAACCAUUACCUGUUCGUUUUGCUUUCGGCAGGCAGCCCCAGGGCGGGGCUCGCGGCCUGGGCUUUCCCAGGUGUCUGCCGCAGGGCUAACAACAAACUCUUUACUAUACCAUACUGUCUGAGUUUUACAAAAAAAACAAGUUA